rnacentral:misc_RNA from 1 species
UUGCAUUAGGGAUUGUAGUGGUAGCUUUUGGCGAGGCGUGCAUCGAGCCAAAACUUUAACGAAAAGCCCGACCCUUG